AAAUUGAAGAGUUUGAUCAUGGCUCAGAUUGAACGCUGGCGGCAGGCCUAACACAUGCAAGUCGAGCGGUAGCACAGAGAGCUUGCUCUCGGGUGACGAGCGGCGGACGGGUGAGUAAUGUCUGGGAAACUGCCUGAUGGAGGGGGAUAACUACUGGAAACGGUAGCUAAUACCGCAUAAUGUCGCAAGACCAAAGUGGGGGACCUUCGGGCCUCAUGCCAUCAGAUGUGCCCAGAUGGGAUUAGCUAGUAGGUGGGGUAACGGCUCACCUAGGCGACGAUCCCUAGCUGGUCUGAGAGGAUGACCAGCCACACUGGAACUGAGACACGGUCCAGACUCCUACGGGAGGCAGCAGUGGGGAAUAUUGCACAAUGGGCGCAAGCCUGAUGCAGCCAUGCCGCGUGUAUGAAGAAGGCCUUCGGGUUGUAAAGUACUUUCAGCGGGGAGGAAGGUGUUGUGGUUAAUAACCACAGCAAUUGACGUUACCCGCAGAAGAAGCACCGGCUAACUCCGUGCCAGCAGCCGCGGUAAUACGGAGGGUGCAAGCGUUAAUCGGAAUUACUGGGCGUAAAGCGCACGCAGGCGGUCUGUCAAGUCGGAUGUGAAAUCCCCGGGCUCAACCUGGGAACUGCAUUCGAAACUGGCAGGCUAGAGUCUUGUAGAGGGGGGUAGAAUUCCAGGUGUAGCGGUGAAAUGCGUAGAGAUCUGGAGGAAUACCGGUGGCGAAGGCGGCCCCCUGGACAAAGACUGACGCUCAGGUGCGAAAGCGUGGGGAGCAAACAGGAUUAGAUACCCUGGUAGUCCACGCCGUAAACGAUGUCGAUUUGGAGGUUGUGCCCUUGAGGCGUGGCUUCCGGAGCUAACGCGUUAAAUCGACCGCCUGGGGAGUACGGCCGCAAGGUUAAAACUCAAAUGAAUUGACGGGGGCCCGCACAAGCGGUGGAGCAUGUGGUUUAAUUCGAUGCAACGCGAAGAACCUUACCUGGUCUUGACAUCCACAGAACUUAGCAGAGAUGCUUUGGUGCCUUCGGGAACUGUGAGACAGGUGCUGCAUGGCUGUCGUCAGCUCGUGUUGUGAAAUGUUGGGUUAAGUCCCGCAACGAGCGCAACCCUUAUCCUUUGUUGCCAGCGGUUAGGCCGGGAACUCAAAGGAGACUGCCAGUGAUAAACUGGAGGAAGGUGGGGAUGACGUCAAGUCAUCAUGGCCCUUACGACCAGGGCUACACACGUGCUACAAUGGCAUAUACAAAGAGAAGCGACCUCGCGAGAGCAAGCGGACCUCAUAAAGUAUGUCGUAGUCCGGAUUGGAGUCUGCAACUCGACUCCAUGAAGUCGGAAUCGCUAGUAAUCGUAGAUCAGAAUGCUACGGUGAAUACGUUCCCGGGCCUUGUACACACCGCCCGUCACACCAUGGGAGUGGGUUGCAAAAGAAGUAGGUAGCUUAACCUUCGGGAGGGCGCUUACCACUUUGUGAUUCAUGACUGGGGUGAAGUCGUAACAAGGUAACCGUAGGGGAACCUGCGGUUGGAUCACCUCCUUACCUUAAAGAA
rnacentral:rRNA from 1 species